UACGUAGGUGGCGAGCGUUGUCCGGAUUUACUGGGCGUAAAGGGAGCGUAGGCGGACUUUUAAGUGAGAUGUGAAAUACUCGGGCUCAACUUGAGUGCUGCAUUUCAAACUGGAAGUCUAGAGUGCAGGAGAGGAGAAUGGAAUUCCUAGUGUAGCGGUGAAAUGCGUAGAGAUUAGGAAGAACACCAGUGGCGAAGGCGAUUCUCUGGACUGUAACUGACGCUGAGGCUCGAAAGCGCGGGGAGCAAACAGG
rnacentral:rRNA from 1 species